rnacentral:rRNA from 1 species
AACGAACACUGGCGGCAGGCUUAACACAUGCAAGUCGAACGCGUGCAGCAAUGCACGAGUGGCGCACGGGUGAGUAACGCGUGGAUAUCUGCCUUUUAGUUCGGAAUAACCCCGGGAAACUGGGGCUAAUACCGGAUGGUUCCUUCGGGAUAAAGAUUUAUCGCCAAAAGAUGAGUCCGCGUACGAUUAGCUAGUUGGUGAGGUAAUGGCUCACCAAGGCGACGAUCGUUAGCUGGUCUGAGAGGACGAUCAGCCACACUGGGACUGAGACACGGCCCAGACUCCUACGGGAGGCAGCAGUGGGGAAUAUUGGACAAUGGGGGCAACCCUGAUCCAGCCAUGCCGCGUGAGUGAUGAAGGCCUUCGGGUUGUAAAGCUCUUUUGGCGGGGACGAUGAUGACGGUACCCGCAGAACAAGCCCCGGCUAACUUCGUGCCAGCCGCCGCCGUAA